rnacentral:rRNA from 1 species
UACGGAGGGUGCGAGCGUUGUCCGGAAUCAUUGGGCGUAAAGGGCGCGUAGGUGGCCCGGUCAGUUCGUGGUGAAAGCGCGGGGCUCAACCCUGCGUCGGCCAUGAAUACUGCCGCGGCUGGAGCACUGUAGAGGCAGGCGGAAUUCCGGGUGUAGCGGUGGAAUGCGUAGAGAUCCGGAAGAACACCGGUGGCGAAGGCGGCCUGACUGGGCCAGUUGCUGGACACUGAGGCGCGACAGCGUGGGGAG